ACGGGUGCGUAACGCGUGGGAAUCUGCCCUUGGGUUCGGAAUAACAGUUAGAAAUGACUGCUAAUACCGGAUGAUGUCUUCGGACCAAAGAUUUAUCGCCCAAGGAUGAGCCCGCGUAAGAUUAGCUAGUUGGUGGGGUAAUGGCCCACCAAGGCGACGAUCUUUAGCUGGUCUGAGAGGAUGAUCAGCCACACUGGGACUGAGACACGGCCCAGACUCCUACGGGAGGCAGCAGUGGGGAAUAUUGGACAAUGGGCGAAAGCCUGAUCCAGCUAUGCCGCGUGAGUGAUGAAGGCCUUAGGGUUGUAAAGCUCUUUUACCAGGGAUGAUAAUGACAGUACCUGGAGAAUAAGCUCCGGCUAACUCCGUGCCAGCAGCCGCGGUAAUACGGAGGGAGCUAGCGUUGUUCGGAAUUACUGGGCGUAAAGCGUACGUAGGCGGUUACUCAAGUCAGAGGUGAAAGCCCGGGGCUCAACCCCGGAACUGCCUUUGAAACUAGGUAGCUAGAGUCUUGGAGAGGUUAGUGGAAUUCCGAGUGUAGAGGUGAAAUUCGUAGA
rnacentral:rRNA from 1 species